CAAAAUAGAGUUUGUUAAAACGGUUCAUUUACAUUGAAAGAAUUCUUAUUAUAGAUAUUUUGA
rnacentral:tRNA from 1 species